rnacentral:rRNA from 1 species
UACGGGGGGGGCAAGCGUUGUCCGGAAUUACUGGGCGUAAAGGGCCCGUAGGUUGCCAACUAAGUCGGACGUGAAAUCCCUCAGCUUAACUGGGGAACUGCGUCCGAUACUGGAUGGCUUGAGUUUGGGAGAGGGAUGCGGAAUUCCAGGUGUAGCGGUGAAAUGCGUAGAGAUCCGGAGGAACACCAGAGGCGAAGGCGGCCUACUGGGCUGCACCUGACGCUGAGCCGCGAAAGCCAGGGGAGCGAACGGG